rnacentral:rRNA from 1 species
GGAAAAGAAACCAACAGGGAUUGCCUUAGUAACGGCGAGUGAAGCGGCAAAAGCUCAAAUUUGAAAUCUGGCACCUUCGGUGUCCGAGUUGUAAUUUGAAGAAGGUAACUUUGGAGUUGGCUCUGUCUAUGUUCCUUGGAACAGGACGUCACAGAGGGUGAGAAUCCCGUGCGAUGAGAUGCCCAAUUCUAUGUAAAGUGCUUUCGAAGAGUCGAGUUGUUUGGGAAUGCAGCUCUAAGUGGGUGGUAAAUUCCAUCUAAAGCUAAAUAUUGGCGAGAGACCGAUAGCGAACAAGUACAGUGAUGGAAAGAUGAAAAGAACUUUGAAAAGAGAGUGAAAAAGUACGUGAAAUUGUUGAAAGGGAAGGGCUUGAGAUCAGACUUGGUAUUUUGCGAUCCUUUCCUUCUUGGUUGGGUUCCUCGCAGCUUACUGGGCCAGCAUCGGUUUGGAUGGUAGGAUAAUGACUAAGGAAUGUGGCUCUACUUCGGUGGAGUGUUAUAGCCUUGGUUGAUACUGCCUGUCUAGACCGAGGACUGCGUCUUUUGACUAGGAUGUUGGCAUAAUGAUCUUAAGCCACCCGUCUU